UACAGAGGUCUCGAGCGUUAGGCGGAAUCACUGGGCUUAAAGCGUGUGUAGGCGGAUCGGUAAGUACCUUGUGAAAUCCCACGGCUUAACCGUGGAACUGCUUGGUAUACUGCCAGUCUUGAGCCAUCUAGGGGCUACCGGAACAAAUGGUGGAGCGGUGAAAUGCGUAGAUAUCAUUUGGAACGCCAAUGGUGAAAACAGGUAGCUGGGGGAUGUGCUGACGGCUGAGACACGGAAAGCCAGGGGAGCAAACGGG
rnacentral:rRNA from 1 species